GUGCUUGCUUUGGCAACACAUACACUAAAAUUGGAAAAAUACAAAGAAGAUUAGCAUGGCCCCAUGCAAGGGUGACACACUAAUUUAUGAAGCAGUGCGUGUUUUU